UACAGAGGUCUCAAGCGUUGUUCGGAUUCAUUGGGCGUAAAGGGUGUGUAGGUGGCGCGCUAAGUCGGGUGUGAAAUUUCGGAGCUUAACUCCGAAACUGCAUUCGAUACUGGCGUGCUUGAGGACUGGAGAGGAGACUGGAAUUUACGGUGUAGCAGUGAAAUGCGUAGAUAUCGUAAGGAAGACCAGUGGCGAAGGCGGGUCUCUGGACAGUUCCUGACACUGAGGAGCGAAAGCUAGGGGAGCAAACGGG
rnacentral:rRNA from 1 species